AUGAACCUGGCUCUCCUCACGAGAUGGCUCUGGCGCAUUACAAAUGGUGAGGGUGGCCUGUGGUUACAAAUCAUCCGGAACAAAUACUUGCACGGUCAACCCCUUGACUUUUGCACUGGGACGGGAGGCUCCCAGUCUUGGCAGUCCAUCAUCCAGCUACUCCCAGUCCUCCGCCUCGGGACAUCCAUCGCGGUUGGCUCUGGGUCAACCACUCUGUUUUGGUUUGACCGGUGGGCUGGGGACUCCCCCUUCGCUGCCAGGUUCCCGGAUCUUUUCUCCUGUGCGAUGGAGCCUAGGAUCUCCGUCGAGGCGGCCCUUAUUGACUUAGGGCGCCUCGCAUUCGAGCGGCCAUUUGGGCCCCCAGAAAUCGCCGCCUGGCAUGAGCUCCUAGAGACUGUUGCUCUUCAUGAGCCUGAUCUAGCAUCUCUCGAUUGCCUGUCCUAGCAUCUUGAGCCCUCGGGUUGGUUCUCCAUAAAAUCCCUAUACCAGGCCAUUGCCCCCUCACCUGCACCGGCGGUCCUUGAGGUGAUCUGGACUAUAUGUGUCCCCCUCAAGAUCCGGAUCUUUGUGUGGCAAUGGAUCUGCGAUCGGCUUCCCUCCGGCAUGGAGGUGGUUAAACAGCAUGGCACGGGCAAUGGGAUUUGCCCCCUAGGUGGGACUGAGGAAAACUCGAAUCACAUUUUCUUCUCGUGUGUCUCCGCCCAGUUCCUCUAG
rnacentral:rRNA from 1 species